GUGUCAGCCGCCGCGGUAAUACGGAGGAUCCGAGCGUUAUCCGGAUUUAUUGGGUUUAAAGGGUGCGCAGGCGGGAGAUUAAGUCGGCGGUGAAAUUUUGCAGCUCAACUGUAAAAGUGCCUUCGAAACUGGUUUUCUUGAGUGUAGAUGAAGUAGGCGGAAUUUGUGGUGUAGCGGUGAAAUGCAUAGAUAUCACGAGGAACUCCGAUUGCGCAGGCAGCUUACUAAGCUACAACUGACGCUCAUGCACGAAGGCGUGGGGAUCAAACAGGAUUAGAUACCCUGGUAGUCCACGCAGUAAACGAUGAUUACUCGCUGUUUGCGAUAUACGGCAAGCGGCUUAGCGAAAGCGUUAAGUAAUCCACCUGGGGAGUACGUUCGCAAGAAUGAAACUCAAAUAAAUUGACGG
rnacentral:rRNA from 1 species